GUCUUCUCUCCCAGUGCAGGUUAAACCCCUCUCUGGUUAUCUGCUUUGGGGAGGAAUUUGUUCCAGGAUCCAAAAGUGGUUGGUCUAUUCUCCGGGAACAGACUGAAGGAAGAAGUCAACUGAUGGGAGGGGACAGCCCUUGUUACAGGAUGGGUUCCCAGCUUAGAGAAGUGUGGAGAUCAUGGUCUUGGGGAGUACAUCUCAGCAUACAGGGUGCAGGGCUUUCCCAUUGGCCUUGUCCUUGCUGGGGGCAGAUAUGAUAUGGAGAAUGAGCUAGGAGAGUGCUAGGUUAAAGCAGUGAACUGAUGGACCCCCCAAAGCAGCCCCUUAUUUCCUGUAAGACGGAACAACCAAGCGCGGAAAGAGCUCACCUAUUUUAUGCCUGGGUUUUGGGAUGAAGUGAGGUUUACGCUGGAAGCAAACAAUAUAAGCAAAACUGGUCAGGACCCACUGGCUGUCUUAGAGAGGCAGUGAGGUGGCGCUUUCCUGAACAGCAGUGGGCGGGUGCACGGUAGGGAGGUGGUAUGGAGUCCCCCUGAGCACUCUCAUUUUGGGCCCUACAAUGCUUUGUUGUGAGGGAGGUGGUUCUGUUAUUGCAGGACAUUUAGCAACAGCCCUGGCCUCUACCCACUAGAGGCCAGUAGCACCUCCCCAGUUGUGACAGCCCUGAGUAUCUCCGGACAUUGCCAGCAUCCCGUGGGAGGGAAAAAACACCAGGAUUGAGAACUGAACAGACAGAGGGGUUCUGAUGGGACGAGGAGCCACUGAAGGGAUUUCAGCAGGGCAUGAAUUAUCCAGUGUGAACUAUGUGAGCUCUUUGCAUUCUCUGCAGGAGGCCUUGCGUUGGCUCUUCUGAUGUUCUCUUGCACUAGGGUUUUUUGGGUUUUACUGGGACAGAAAUUCAGAAUGCUGAGUUCCUUUGCCACUUGUAACUACACCAGCAUUUUACUGAAUACUGUGUGUCAGGCACUGUGCUGAAGGAGUUGACAUACCACUUUUUUUUUCCAUUUAAUCGAAGCCCUGUGAGGUGGAUGCUGUUACUCCCUCACCUCACAGAGCUGUGAGUUUUCCUUGGGCCACACAAGGAGUGGCCGCCAGACUCCAGCCCCUGUGUGUGGGCUCCCGGGCUCCUGGGGGGAGCAGGAGCCUGAGUAGGAAGGAAGCUUCCUGGAGGCCACAUGUAGCAGUGGGCCUUUUAAAAGUACAGCUUUUUUGACCUUCAUUUAAAAAUCAAUUCAGUAAUAUUUCUCAGGACUUAAUCUGUAAUAAUUUAUCCUUAUUUUGCCCUUCUCUCCAAAGGAGUCUAGAGGUAUUUUACUGCCCAGGUAAGAGGUUUUUGGGUUUUCUGUGGUUUUCAGAUCUGUAUCCAGGCUCGCUGAGAUUGACACCCUGCCCCUCCUGAUCCUCUGCUUAGGACAGUCAGGAACUUGGCAGUUUUGUGAAAAUCACGAGUUCCCCUUGACAUUCACAGGGUCUCUCCAAUUAGGUGCACAACCAUUCUCUCUAGAGAGUCUCUCAGAGUCAGUAGAGCCUGAGCAGAUGGACUCCCUUCCAGCUUCUUCAGAGCCUGCUUUCCUCCUCGGCCACAAGUAUAACCUGAGGGGCAGGAAGCCAUGUUAAUCCCUUCAUGAUGGAUGCCCCCAUCUCCGCCUCCAGCCAGAGGUGUCCCUGUGGCCACAUGGCAGGUUUUCGCUACAUUUUGACCCAGUUACUUUGGUGCAUGAGUUGACAGUCCUGUCCGACACCCCAAAUUCUCAUUAUACUGGAUCAAAUGACUGGACCCUACUGAUGUGAAUUGAACCAGCCCCCUGUAUACAUUUUUCAAUUAAAAACAUCAAAGUCUUACUGGGAAAGAUAAUCUCAUCCCUGUUCCCGACUUGCCUUUUAUUUGGCCCCAACCAACCAUUCUAACAUUCUAAAAUGAAAGUUCAGAAGAUAAGGUCCCCUGAAUUCCACUGACCACGCACAGGAAGACUGAGCAAAGGUCUGGUGAACAUGUCGGGGAGAACCCAGCCAUUCUCCUUUUCUGGCGAGCAGAACCAUGCAGCCUGGCCGCACUCCCCAGCCUGCCUUGCCGCCUCUUGGGAGUUGUCGGGACAGCACUGUGCCCUGCUGCUGCUGCACAGGUGUGGCUUCCCUAGGGCUGACCUCCACACAGCCAGCCCGUGCCUUCUGCUGCCCCUCUGUCAGCAUCCUCCGCAGAUAACGCAGCUUCCCCUCUCCCUUCCGCUGCCAGCAGAUGUUGCAGCUGUGGCAGGAAACUAGGGAGAGUGUGAACACAGCUGAUAAAGGCGCAGGAAGCGAAAGCAGCCUUUGUGUUUAACAAAGGAAAUAAAGUUUUUAAGA